rnacentral:rRNA from 1 species
CACUGGAACUGAGACACGGUCCAGACUCCUACGGGAGGCAGCAGUGGGGAAUAUUGGACAAUGGGCGCAAGCCUGAUCCAGCCAUACCGCGUGGGUGAAGAAGGCCUUCGGGUUGUAAAGCCCUUUUGUUGGGAAAGAAAUCCAGCCGGCUAAUACCUGGUUGGGAUGACGGUACCCAAAGAAUAAGCACCGGCUAACUUCGUGCCAGCAGCCGCGGUAAUACGAAGGGUGCAAGCGUUACUCGGAAUUACUGGGCGUAAAGCGUGCGUAGGUGGUUGUUUAAGUCUGUUGUGAAAGCCCUCGGCCCCACCUGGGAACUGCAGUGGAAACUGGACAACUAGAGUGUGGUAGAGGGUAGCGGAAUUCCCGGUGUAGCAGUGAAAUGCGUAGAGAUCGGGAGGAACAUCCAUGGCGAAGGCAGCUACCUGGACCAACACUGACACUGAGGCACGAAAGCGUGGGGAGCAAACAGGAUUAGAUACCCUGGUAGUCCACGCCCUAAACGAUGCGAACUGGAUGUUGGGUGCAAUUUGGCACCCAGUAUCGAAGCUAACGCGCUA